UUUAGGUCCGCAGGAAUGUGAUGGUCCAGCU
rnacentral:piRNA from 1 species